rnacentral:rRNA from 1 species
UUCGUCACACUAUCAUUAACUGAAUCCAUAGGUUAAUGAGGCGAACCGGGGGAACUGAAACAUCUAAGUACCCCGAGGAAAAGAAAUCAACCGAGAUUCCCCCAGUAGCGGCGAGCGAACGGGGAGGAGCCCAGAGCCUGAAUCAGCAUGUGUGUUAGUGGAAGCGUCUGGAAAGGCGCGCGAUACAGGGUGACAGCCCCGUACACAAAAGCGCAUGUGCUGUGAGCUCGAUGAGUAGGGCGGGACACGUGGUAUCCUGUCUGAAUAUGGGGGGACCAUCCUCCAAGGCUAAAUACUCCUGACUGACCGAUAGUGAACCAGUACCGUGAGGGAAAGGCGAAAAGAACCCCGGCGAGGGGAGUGAAAAAGAA